rnacentral:lncRNA from 1 species
UCUCUUGCUAAUUGGAGCAUGUGUCUAUCCUUUGCAAUGAACCAGUUCAGUAGUCCACCUCAUAGAGUUCCCAAGAGAACCAUCAGGAUCAAUGAAAGGUAUAGUUUCUCCCCAACAACAAAACCAACACCUUCUCCAGCCUGGAUUCAGAUGGCAGAUGAGGUCAGAGAGGACCUCCAUAAGCCUCAUUUAUCCAUACAAGAAAAUGUUCAUUCUGAGGAUGAAUUGCAGGAGAUGUGGGUUAUUGUAUGGUCUGUGUUAUAAGCUUGUUUUCUCCAUUCUGCUGCUUGCAGUCUGAAGGAGGCUCAAAUAAUGUAGAAGAAAAUCACCCCAGAGAAGACUGCAGAGCCAAAAUUCCAGCCUUGGAUUGUAUACUUACAGACUUCUGUAUGGGAAAAAAAAUAAAUUUCUAAUUGUUUGAACCA